rnacentral:rRNA from 1 species
AUUGAACGCUGGCGGAAUGCUUUACACAUGCAAGUCGAGCGGUAGACCCUUUCGGGGGUUGAGAGCGGCGAACGGGUGAGUAAUGCAUCGGAACGUACCUAGUCGUGGGGGAUAACGUAGCGAAAGUUACGCUAAUACCGCAUACGUCCUACGGGAGAAAGCAGGGGAUCGCAAGACCUUGCGCGAUUGGAGCGGCCGAUGUCUGAUUAGCUAGUUGGUAGGGUAAAGGCCUACCAAGGCAUCGAUCAGUAGCGGGUCUGAGAGGAUGAUCCGCCACACUGGAACUGAGACACGGUCCAGACUCCUACGGGAGGCAGCAGUGGGGAAUUUUGGACAAUGGGGGCAACCCUGAUCCAGCCAUUCCGCGUGAGUGGAGAAGGCCUUCGGGUUGUAAAGCUCUUUCAGCCGGAACGAAACGGUACGCUCUAACAUAGCGGACUACUGACGGUACCGGAAGAAGAAGCACCGGCUAACUACGUGCCAGCAGCCGCGGUAAUACGUAGGGUGCGAGCGUUAAUCGGAAUUACUGGGCGUAAAGCGUGCGCAGGCGGCUUUUUAAGCCAGAUGUGAAAUCCCCGGGCUUAACCUGGGAACUGCAUUUGGAACUGGAAGGCUAGAGUGCGGCAGAGGGGGGUAGAAUUCCACGUGUAGCAGUGAAAUGCGUAGAGAUGUGGAGGAAUACCGAUGGCGAAGGCAGCCCCCUGGGUCGACACUGACGCUCAUGCACGAAAGCGUGGGGAGCAAACAGGAUUAGAUACCCUGGUAGUCCACGCCCUAAACGAUGUCAACUAGUUGUUGGAGGAGUGAAAUCCUUUAGUAACGAAGCUAACGCGUGAAGUUGACCGCCUGGGGAGUACGGUCGCAAGAUUA